rnacentral:rRNA from 1 species
AGUCGGGACUAGUGAUCCGGCGGUGGCUUGUGGAAGCGCCGUCGCUCAACGGAUAAAAGGUACCCCGGGGAUAACAGGCUGAUCUUCCCCAAGAGUCCAUAUCGACGGGAUGGUUUGGCACCUCGAUGUCGGCUCGUCGCAUCCUGGGGCUGGAGUCGGUCCCAAGGGUUGGGCUGUUCGCCCAUUAAAGCGGUACGCGAGCUGGGUUUAGAACGUCGUGAGACAGUUCGGUCCCUAUCCGCUGUGCGCGUAGGAAUAUUGAGAAGGGCUGUCCCUAGUACGAGAGGACCGGGACGGACGAACCUCUGGUGUGCCAGUUGUUCUGCCAAGGGCAUGGCUGGUUGGCUACGUUCGGGAGGGAUAACCGCUGAAAGCAUCUAAGCGGGAAGCCUGCUUCGAGAUGAGUAUUCCCACCUCCUUGAGAGGGUAAGGCUCCCAGUAGACGACUGGGUUGAUAGGCCGGAUAUGGAAGCCCUGUAAGGGGUGGAGUUGACCGGUACUAAUAGGCCGAGGGCUUGUCCUCAGUUG